GACAGAUGGGAGCUUGCUCCCUGAAGUCAGCGGCGGACGGGUGAGUAACACGUGGGCAACCUGCCUGUAAGACUGGGAUAACUCCGGGAAACCGGGGCUAAUACCGGAUAAUUCUUUCCCUCACAUGAGGGAAAGCUGAAAGAUGGUUUCGGCUAUCACUUACAGAUGGGCCCGCGGCGCAUUAGCUAGUUGGUGAGGUAACGGCUCACCAAGGCAACGAUGCGUAGCCGACCUGAGAGGGUGAUCGGCCACACUGGGACUGAGACACGGCCCAGACUCCUACGGGAGGCAGCAGUAGGGAAUCUUCCGCAAUGGACGAAAGUCUGAAGGAGCAACGCCGCGUGAGUGAUGAAGGUU
rnacentral:rRNA from 1 species